UCAGUUGUUGUAUACCAUUCGAGAAUAGAACUUAUAGAACUCACCUUUCCUCUACUUGCAAUUGCGCUUUUGCAUCACUUGACCUAUAGCGUAGUACGUUCAAGUAGGAACAAGUGCAAUUCUAAUGUAUUCCGCGACCUGUUACCGGACUUGUAGUCUUUCUUCAUUCUCAUACAAUUAACUGGAAAAACGCCAAAAGAACCAAAUUACACUCCCAUCAUGGGUUCAUCUUCUAAAACAGAAACAAAGUUAACAUAACUGACGACAUCAUUCGAUUCAAUUCUCAAUUAAAGCGCUAGAUUUAGAGCAACUAGUCAAAAAGCUCGCAUUACUCCUAAACGACCGAUGUACAUCGUGAACUAUCGCAUGACUUGAGGAACUGCAAUGUUAAUGGUCUAACAGGUUUUGGAACCAAAGUUUCUUGACAGAAUGGUUACGAAGAGCCAAGUUUAGAACAAAGAAUUAACAGAGAAGAAUUCAUAUUUAAGCAGAACUUCAUUGAAAUGCAGGAAAAUCAUGAUGAAAAUGUAUUUCAUGAACUAUAUCCGACCAACAUGCAUAACAAAGAAGAUUGCAUGAGUUGAACAUUUGCGAUGAUGAGAAUUUUUAGAAACAAAGUUGGGUAUUUCUUACCGAAACGGUUACGAAGCACUAAAUAUGCUACGAAGCACUAAAUAUGCCUUCCACGUGUAUUAACUCAUAUUACACAUAUAAUUAAUACGAAAUAAUAGGGAACCCAGUGUAAUGAUUCCAAUGAUCUCAUAAUUAUCUGAAAGUUAUCAUAUUUCAUUUUUUUCUUUACAUCAACUUCCAACAGAUAAAUUUUUAAAGCUAAAUUUCUUUCUAGCUGUACUUCGUGGCGAGUCAUUCGGAGAGAGCCACUGCCCUUUGCGUUUUGGAUUAUCAUAUAGGACCCAUUUUUCAUCUGCAGUGAUCAUGCGAUUAAAAAAUCCGGAUUUUCAGUCCGGAAAAAUACGGAUCGGUUAACUUUGUUUUCGUCGGACCAAUCUGAUAUAAAUAUUCUUGGAUGAUAAACCAAGGUUGGUUAAGAGUAUUUGUAGUUCCUCGAUCGUCUGACACGGAUUUGCUUCCACUUUCGUCCUUAACAGGUCAAAAUUACCGGGUUUGAACUUAGAAAACCACCUUUGGUAGCAAUUGUUGCAGUAUUACCCUUGCAAAACUCAAAAAGCAUACAAUGCCGAAUAUGUACCACUUCUGGUAUUUGACUGGUCAUUUCACCAUAAAUUCCCAAAAAGAAAAAUAAGAAUUAUUUGCGAGUAAACAAGUCACUCUAAUCUUAAAAUAUCUUUAACUCGAUUUUGUAGUACACAAUGAGAUGAUAGAUGGCAAUCGAAUAUCGACAUGCACAGAAACGACAUUACUUUCCGGUCCUCUAAUAUGAUCGUCAUCGAAGGUGUUGUAGACCACGACGUUUUUGGGAUUCGCUGAUACAUUAUUUAGAGCUUUGGUUGCAAAAGUUGGACUCAAUCCAUAACAUUUUUAAAAUUGGAUUCAUUACAAUAUAUAUACUAAGUGCUGUGAAAAUCUCAAUGCCAAGAGAGUGGCACAAGUGAUAAUUGGUUUAAUAAUGGUUAGAUUUUGUUUGGUUAAUAAUUGUUGAAGCUUUCCCGAUUCUGUUUGGAGCUGCACGGAAUACUGAAUUAUUUAUUGUGACGCAUGUGCGCCAAACUGUAGGGAUUAUAGUAUAGGGUGUUGUGACUUAUUGGACCCGACCUUCAAGUAUGUAACCUAUCGAACAUAUUUGGGACAUUAUGCAGGAGACUGAGAAACUUGUUGCAUCUUCCGCAUAUGGUGCAAAUUACUGCAUGAAGGUUGCAAAGGACAUAAUACCUCACGAGAAAAUCGACCAAUUGCUAAAAUCAAUACCACGAAGAGUGGGGGAGUAUGUAACCAACCCAUAAUUAAUAAAAAUUAAGUUUGCAUUUUGUACUUCGUAGUUAAACGGUUCUGCCAAGUUUGAUCAAAAAUAUAUUUCUACAUUUAGGA
rnacentral:lncRNA from 1 species